CUGAGGAGACUACUUGUUCUGAGCUACGUUUCCUGCCUUGUCUGUUCUGCGAGGGUUCUGAUGCUUUGGCCUGUGUUGUAGCUGUUGUGUCCAAUGUUGUAAACUGCCUGGGUUUUAAUGCUUUCAAGAUGGUGUGCUCCAUCUCACCCUGAGUUUCACCAAAGUCAGCGCAAUCAGUUGCAUUUCUUCAUUGGUGCUAGCAAGAGGUCUUUUGAAAGCCACAAAGAAGAUGCUAACAUUUUACAGCAGCGGUGGUUACUACUUUAUGGACCUCUUCUAAGUCCUUAAGGCUUCCUUUUCUUUUCAUCAAUGAAGUUUCAAUGGACGACAUUCUCUGAAUCAGAAAUUCACAGAAAUUGUAUCAGAAAUUCACUGCACAAUGAAGGACCAGACACCAUAAGGCUAUAGGCAAGUCCACUCUGUGGUCAUAGGACAGGAACAUAGAUAUCCAUGCUAGCUUUAAACUGUCUCCCUUGAUAAACAGUACAGGUCUAGGCACCAUAUGGAUUGGCGCGAGCUAAGGUAACCUACUAAGAAAAGUCUGCAGAAUAGGUGCGCACCAAAUCCUGCAAAACCUUAUUUGACAGAGAGUUACCCUGUGCAGUAAUUUUGAGGGUCCCUGUUUAGAUCAGGAUCCUCAGACCUGGAAGAUCACUGCUGGGCAAAAAAGCGAAAACUCGUACCAUCUCUGAUGCACAAUGAUUUGUAAGCCUUUAGGUGUGAGCUGUCU